rnacentral:lncRNA from 1 species
UAGAGUACUUCGAAAUAGCACAACUCGGUUAUAGAAACAAAGAAAAAGAACCACAAUUCACAAAAACCCAAAAGAAACUAGAGAGAAAAGACCCCAAAAGAGAGACAAUGCCGAAAGUUCUAGAGGAAAAACACUCAGUCGAAAUCCCUAUACCCACUACCUAAUUUCGGCACAACUCCACUACUCUUCAAACACCACUUUUUCC